rnacentral:lncRNA from 1 species
GGGGGGGGGGUUGGGGAUUAGAAAUGGUCUAUGAUCUCAAGCCUGCGAGUACCACCACUGCCUCUGGGGCAUCUACUCUGUAGCUUCUGCGGGAUUAGCUUCCCUGCCAGUGAGUCUGCUAUCAUCAAAACCUGUCUUCUCUGUGUCUUGGUGAUUUGCAUUCAUUAAAAGGAACGCCAGCCAGGAUGUAGGUGGUCAGUAUGGGGAUGCUAGUGGCUAAAAGUUAAAAAUCAACUCAAUGACUUUAAACAAUAAGAACGUUGGAUUUAACAGCCAACUGGUGUUGUCAAAAGCUCCCGUUCUUUCUGCUGCUAGGUUCCUCAUCUGAAGACCCCUGGUGGCGCUGACAUCCGGCUUUCCUUUCAGCUGUGAAAAACCCUGGAACUCAGAGCUUUCAACUGUGAGCAUCUUCUCACUAGGGAGAAGUCUUUUGUGUGGAGGACCUCCCUGCAGAUGGAGCACCAUGAAUCAUGGCCAGAACUGAGGCACAUGCCUGUGUCUACAGCAGUCACUGAAAAGCAGGACAGGGUCACACUGCAAACACUGGAGUAAUUUGUUCUUUUGUCCUCCUGUGCUGAGGGCGGAGCCUGAGGUCUUUGCAUACUAGGUAAGUUGCUGUACUGCUAAGCUACAUCCUCAGCUCAGAGGGAUUGGGCUCUAAACCUAGGCAUGAGAUGGUCCUUCUAUGACUGACAUGGAGAAGCAAGGGACAGCCACGUGGGUGUGCAGUGUUGUCAGCUAAGAAUAAAGGAGAGCAAGGCUGUUUUGCAAGCCACCAUUUGUGUCUUCUUCAACUAGGACAUGGGAUAAGUCUGAGUAAAUGGAACUUUCAGCUUCACCGGGGAAUAUGCAAAUUUUUUAUUGCAGCUCUGGUGAUUUUAAACUACUCUGACAUUUAUUAAUUUCCUGUUUCUACUAUUAUGCAGAGCAAAACGGCAUCUCUGGUAUGUUGACAUCUAAGGACGUGCCCUGCUUCGUGCCCUUAGAAAACUCCUCUUUGGUUCCUAGCCUCAGAAUCUCCCAAGCUAACCCACAGCCAUGUUUGUGCAGCAUGAUCAGCUCCCUAGCCAAAGGCAGUUUGGAGCCAGCAUGGACAGUGGGGUGUGGUUGGGCCAAUCAGCCUCUCUUCUUAGGGAAUUUGGUAAGAGGGCAUCAUCCAGUUGCCUCCUGCUCUUCGAAUGUGAUGGAGCCUACAGUAAUCCUGGAAGUGCGGGUGGUUGUUUUUCUGCCAUUUGGGAUGAGAUUGAAAAGUCGAUGUCUGAGAAAAUGAAUAUGGAGUAGACACAAACAAAAAAACAGAAAUGAGCUGUCUCCAGAAGGCAGACAGACAGACACAUAGACUCACAGAGAGACACAGAUGGACAUACACAGAGAAAGACACACACAGACACACAUACAGAUGCACAGACACAGUCAUGCAUACACCCACACACUUUGCACGCACAUGUGCACAUAUUUUUGCACACUUUGCCCACACACAUGUGCACACUUUUGCAUGCUUCCAAGCUAGUUUAGAAGCGUUUAUAGACUGUUUAGCAAAAAAGACCCCUACAUGCCACAUGGGGGCAUAAAUGUCCUUUAUCAGAGAUAUAACCCAGGGCCUGGCAGAACGUUAGGGUCCUCAUUAGAGACUUCCAGAUCUCAUUUUACAGACCUCCAUGUAUGAAAAACAAGGAGAGUCACACCUGUCAAAAAUUCGCCACUCUGAUGACAAAAGGUAGGCCCUGCUCAGCUGAACCCCUCCCCCUUGCUCAGUUUCUAAGGCCCUAAGUAGCGUUCCACAAAACACUCAGCCGCAACACACUGCAGUGCAUGUUGUGUUGUGUCUUUAAAGAGUGGGAGUGGGAUUUGUGUAUUGAGUUCCAACCGUUUGCUUUUCAUGUGUUGUUGACUUGAAACCUCACCCCAUGCUGGGUACUGAUCAUUAUAAAACCAUUUUAUCAGCAAGGAAGCAGAGCCUCAGAAAGCACAUUGAUUUGGGUAAAGUCA